UUUAACGGUGUUAAAAAAAACAUGUAAUAACCAUGUAAUUACUUGCUUUUGAUAUUUUAUUUGAGCCAAUUCCCAGCCGGCACAUAACCGACCUUCAACGUUGAAAUAUGGUUGAAAUAAGGUCAGUUCGUAUUUCAACGUUGAAACAAUGUUUAAUGCUUAACGGUUGAAAACCAACCGGUACAUGACCAACCUUCAACGUUGAAAUAUGGUUGAAAUAAUGACAGUUGUUGUUUCAAUGUUGAAACUACGUUGAAAUAAUGUUUAAUGCUAAAUGGUAGAAAAGGGGUAAUAAAAACACUUAUAAAUCAACUUUUUUUUUUUUACAAGAUCUGUAUGUGAAUCACUUAAUGUAUGUAGAGAAUAAAUCAUUUCUGCCUUUUAAGUUAUUAUUAAGAUCGUUAUUAUUAUUUUAUUAUCAUUUUACAUUUUUAUCAUGAAACCUUCUGGUAUAACUAUUAUCAACAAAACUAAACACAUUGCGCUUCCUUACCACGCUGAAACAAUUCCUAUUGGUUAUUUAACUUAUUUGCUUUGAUCAUGAUUGGUUAAUCUGGCUGUCAUUCAUGAAACUGGCCAAUGAAACUGUGCGCGCCAUUUUAAGUUUGAAAAUAUGACCGUUAUCCUGAUCGUCUUUCUGAGUGAGGUCGCUGUGAGUGAGAGAGCUGCUGCGCAAUAAAACUGCUAGGUCGGUCCCGAAUUAUAAUUAUUGUAUAAAAAACGUUUACCAUUAAAGCUAUUAUUAUAUUAUAGAUACUGGUACUAUUUAUGUAAACGCUGCGUAACUUUCAUGUGUUUGAUGGACGCGCGCGUUGAACAUUCGAGGCGCUUUUAAACUGGAGUGGAAGGAGUUUCCAUGGAAACGGGGCGGCAACUCAGCUGACAAGUAGCAAAAAAUCUCCGUCUCUCACUGUUGUUUUUACUGCUUUCAGAAAUGGUUCAUUGUCAUCGGAAAAAGUCCGUUAGCAUCACAACCGUGAGCUAACCAGAGGCUAACUAUAAGAGUCUUCCAUGCUGAUGGCCGUGCAGCAGAGUUGGAGGGGACCUCUUGUCGAAGAACAUCUCCAAGACACUAUGAGCAUCUGACUAGCUUUUUGUGAAGACAGAAAAUCAAGAGAUGUUGUGACAACCUGGACAGAAUUCAGCUCCAGAUCCAGCCUCCACACCAGACUUCUCACGCACAAGGACUGCUGUCUACUAGCAUAUUAUGUGUUCUCUUUAGAGUUAGGUGCAUGGAGAUAUUACCUGAUUUUUAGAUAUAAUGAAAACUAUAUCAUAUAUAUAUAUAUAUAUAUAUAUAUAUGAGAAGAGUUCAGAUGCAAAAGCCUCUAAAUGCCAUCUGAAAUUUUCUUCUAAAAUGAGCAUUUUUCUCAAGCUCCUAUAUUUAUGUUCAGUUAUUUCAUUUUAAUUGCAUAGAAAAGGACCUAUAUAUUGCCAUUAGAGUAAAAUAACUGAACCUAAACAUAGCAGCCUGAUAAAAAUGCUCAUUUUAGAUGGCACUUAGAAGCUUUUGCAUCUGAACUCUUCAUAUAUAUAUAUACACUAUAUUGCCAAAAGUAUUGGGACUUCUGUAUGGGAUGGUUUAUGUAUUUUUGGUCAAACAGACUUGAGCAAGUUUCCAAACUAUAUUUAUAAUUAUUUAUUUAUAUAUAUUGUGUGAAUCUUUGCAGUGUAUGAAAUUAGAAUGAAAAGCUUUUCCUCUCUGCAUUGAUAUAUCAUUAAACCCUUAAUAAAGUGCUUUGUUGUUGAGUGAGAAUUUAAGAAAUUCUGUGAAAGUGUUACUAUAUAUUGUAUAUUUAAAUUCUAAGAAAAUUAUUUUUCCAUUUGGCAUAAUUGUUCAAAAGUUUUUCUUUAGAAAAUGAAGCAUCUCAUCACUGCACUGCAGAUUUAUGGACAUCUAAUUGUUAGAAUGUUUUUCUUUUUCUUUUUUUAUGCCGUCCGAUUGAUGUACAGCAAGUUUUAUUAGUUACUGAAAACACGAAAUAUGCACCGAAAAUCAUAGUUUACAUCUCAGUGUUGACGUUUCAGCUAAAUUGCAAUAUUAACAAUUUCCAAAGUGAAUGCUUGCUUGGACAUUUUAACGACGAUCGACCCUUGAAAGGUACGCCGGUGAAACAGGGUCACAAUAUCAACGUUGAUCCGUUUUGCAAAACCGAAAGGUAAUUCAACGUUGAUUCAA